GUGGACUCGCUCAGACCUUGAGUCUCGCUCAGGCUCCCUACGCAGGUCUCGUGGACCCGCUCAGACCUUGAGUCUCGUUCAGGCUCCCUAUGCAGGUCUCGUGGACUCGCUCAGACCUGCAUUCUCUAAUCCUGCAGAUUUCUCACGUGCCUCUCGGCUUUGUUCUCUCUGAUAUCUUUCCAUCUGUGUAAAAGGCAUCAGGCCCAGGAGGGGCGGGGCUUACAGGAGGCUCCUCCUCCUCCACCUGGUCCUCAGUGUGUUGAUUGGUUGAUCACCUCUAACCCCCCAACUCACGAUAAUAUGAAGAGGUUUUUGUGAGAUAACUAUUUUAACACUAUUACUACUUUUUGAUCUCAUGUGUGUGUCCGUGUGUGUGUGUAACUGUGUGUGUGUCCGUGUGUGUGUGUGUGUUUGUGUAUCUGUGUGUGUGUCUGUGUGUGUGUCUGUGUGUGUGUGUGUGUGUGUGUGUGUCUGUGU
ensembl:lncRNA